rnacentral:tRNA from 1 species
AUCUCAGUAGGUAGAGCGCAUCCUUGGUAAGGAUGAGGUAGUCAGUUCAAUUCUGACAGGUAGCCCCA